GUUACGGGCCCUGAGAGGGGGAGCCCGGAGAUGGACUUUGAGACACGAGUACAGGCCAUACGGGGCGCAGCAGGCGCGAAACCUUAGCAAUGCGCGAAAGCGCGACGAGGGGAGCCCGAGUGCCCUUCCUUUUGGGAGGGCUUUUCCGGAGUAUAAAAAGCUCCGGGAAUAAGGGCUGGGCAAGACGGGUGCCAGCCGCCGCGGUAAUACCCGCAGCUCGAGUGGUGGCCACUAUUAUUGAGCCUAAAGCGUCCGUAGCCGGACCCGUAAAUCCCUGGGUAAAUCCUGGCGCUCAAUGUCAGGAAUUCCGGGGAGACUGCGGGUCUUGGGACCGGGAGAGGCCGGAGGUACUCCCGGGGUAGGGGUAAAAUCCUGUAAUCCCGGGGGGACCACCUGUGGCGAAAGCGUCCGGCUUGAACGGCUCCGACGGUGAGGGACGAAGGCCAGGGGAGCAAACCGGAUUAGAUACCCGGGUAGUCCUGGCUGUAAACGCUGCCCGCUUGGUGUUGUCGGUCUCUCGGGGGCCGGCAGUGCCGGAGCGAAGGUGUUAAGCGGGCCGCUUGGG
rnacentral:rRNA from 1 species